rnacentral:lncRNA from 1 species
AGUAACAGGACCAGUACGAUGAGGAGCAGCAAACAAAGAUUCAAUCCUACAGAAACACCAAUGACCAGAAGAAGAGAAGAAGAUGAUGAUGAUGAUGAUGAUGAUGAUAACGAAGCUGAAGAGAGAAGAUGGCAGACCUGUUCAUAAAGCACAUGCUGUAUGAUAAUAUUACAGAGCAGAGUCACAGCUCAGAGAGAGAGAGUCAGAGGAGAAGUGUUGACUUCUGCUGGGCCUGAGCACCAGGCGCACUGAAGCAGAAACACCUGAGGAAUAAAAAAAAGAUCUCUGCUCAUCUUAAAAAG